rnacentral:misc_RNA from 1 species
AACCUUAUGGACCUGCGGGCGUAUACCUGCGGAAGGAUCAUUAAAAAACUUUGCCCGCGGACCCCGGGUCCGAGGCGCAAAACCCACACUGUGUGCACUGUUAUCGUUCUUUUGGCAGGGGCUUGGGGUGCCUUCCAACUUGGAGAACCUCAACUUCUCGUCUAGCUCUAUCCACCUCGGACAGCUGGACAUGAGAAGCAGUUACCCUGCCAAGUGACCCUUAAAAACACGCCUUUCGUC